AUUGACUCAAAUUAACCAAUUUUACUUAAAUUACCCAAUUCUAACCCGAUCCGACCCGAUCCGAACCUACCAAAUAAUAUAACCCAUUUUUGUUCUAUCUUGUUCAUCUUCAUCUUUAAUGUUGGAUUCCUUUUCAAAAACAACCUGUAAACAAUACAUUUGAAAACACCCAUCAAACAAUUAGCAAAAACCACCUGCUCCAUCCACGAACUCCAGCGAAGAGCGAACGCCGCCAGUCCCCUCCCUUUCCCCUUUUACGUUUCGCCGCUAGUCCCCUCCCUUUUCCCCUUUUAGUUUCGCCGCCAGUCCCCCUCCCUUUUCUCCUUUUACGUUUUCUUCUAUUGGAUAUGUGUUUUUGGCUCCAACUCCGGUGAAUAAUGACCAUGAACUCCGGCGAGGCUCUGCAAAUCAGCAGCCACCACAGCCUCUCUCCCAACGCCAAAAUCAGCAAACCCAUUUCUCGAACCAGUUAACAACACCAACACAGCUCCACGACCAAGCUUCACCCCCAUUUUCCGAUGACCCUCUAUUUUCUUUCCAUUCUUAUAUUUUAUGAUGAUUUAUUUUUCUUUUACAUUUUUCACUCUAUUCUCUGUGUUUCAGAUUUGGUUAGGGAGUUCAAGCUCCAAUAAUUUUUCAUUCAUAUUCGUUGUUCAAGUUUGUGUAUGCUAUUACACUUUGUUGUUGAUUAUUUUAAUUUUUGGUUUGAUAUUAUUGUAUUUUUGGGCACUGUUACAGCUUUUGCUUGUUAAUUUGUUAUUAUGUUGGACUUUUUUUUUAUUAAUUUUAAAGUUGAAGAUUAACAGAAAUGAAGAUGAACAAAAAUGGGUUUAUAUUAUUUGGUGGUUCGGGUCGGGUCGGAUCGGGUUAGAAUUGGGUAAUUUAAAUAAAAUUGGUUAAUUUGAGUCAAUUUGGGGAUUUCCGUCAAUUGAGGGGUAUAAAUGGUGAAAUUGGUAACGGCAAGGGCAUAAAUAACUUUGUUU
rnacentral:lncRNA from 1 species